GGUAGCGUGGCCGAGCGGUCUAAGGCGCCGGUUUAAGGCACCGGUCCGAGAGGGCGUGGGUUCGAAUCCCACCGCUGCCA
rnacentral:tRNA from 1 species